UUUUGGGACUUAGAAAAAUGUUUAACUUGUUUUUCACUUUAUUUUAGAAUGCGCUUCAUAUCCGAGUCAUAGAAGCCAAAAACCUUGUUGCCAAGGAAAUUUUAACCAAAUCAUCGAACCCUUAUGUUGUGAUAUGCGGAGGAGGAACAACAGCAAAGACAAGGGUGAUACACAAGAACUUGAAUCCAAAGUGGAAUGAGACCUUUGAGAUAUUAUAUUCUGACCUCCCAGACCAGGAGAUAGAAUUUAAUCUCAUCUCUGACAAAGGUGUUAAGAUAAACCAGCAAUUGGGCAGGUGAGUAUGUCCAUAUGUGACCCUAUAAUAACAAUAAGCAGCUGUAGAAUCUGUAGAUACAGUUUCUAACUAUUUUUCCUUUCCCAUAUCUAGUUGCAGAAUUAGAAUAAAAGAGGUGCCAGAGAGAGGAUUCAUAGACAAGUGGAUAGAUUUGGAGAACGUAAAGUCUGGCCAGCUUCAUAUCAAGGUGACACGUCUCAGGCUACUUUCAGACCCAACCCAACUGGAAGAGGUGCUGAAAGUAAACGAACAAUCUCGGCCAAAAAGAGAUAAUGAGAUUGCUUCAGCCGUUCUGUACACCUAUAUUGAAAAAGGAAGGGGUCUGCCUGUUCUACAAGUGAGUCAGAUUAAAAGUCCCUCUAACUGCCAUUCCUGUCCCUACUGCCUGUUAUUAUCUUAAUAACUUACUCGAGUAUUUAAGAUAUAAUAGGUGUAAAAUAUCUCCCAACACCAAGUUGAAAGUUUCCCUUUUUCCCAUUAUACACCAGUAUUGAUCGACAUCUGUUCUUGUCCAACAGGUGAAGAAGGACAAUCUGAAAGCGCUAGCUGUCGUGCAGGUUGGCGUUGAAGACAAUGUAAAGAAAAUUGGAGUAAGUAUUAGAAGAACUGUCCAAAUAUGUGUUACUUAUGGAGGAAGGGGAGGCGCUGAUUGGCACUUCCUUGUACCCUGUGAAAAUAUCUGUUUCAUUAAAUGGCCGUGCCAGAUUCCAUUCUGAAUACAUCUUAUUUCUAUUUACAAAGCAGAAUAAAUAACGGAGAAGCAGAGUGGAAAAAGAGGUUCCAGUUCUUGAUAAGGAACCCACUUAAUGAGGAACUGAAGCUUAAGGUUCACAAUGAACACAAUAAGCCCAUCGGAAGUAUUACUGUGCGCCUAUCUCGCCUUCUGGCUGCUUCGGAAAUGACCUUGCAGGACUGACUGCCCCUUGAAUCAACUGAACAGAAUAGUGAAAUCCGGGUGAAAUUACAAUUGAGGGUAAGUGGCAUACACUCUAUUGUGUUAAUAUCAUCUGUGCUAGAAUAUUUUCAGCUUUAAAAGACACUGGCAUAAA